rnacentral:rRNA from 1 species
ACGGGUGAGGAAUACAUCGGAAUCUGCCUUGUCGUGGGGGAUAACGUAGGGAAACUUACGCUAAUACCGCAUACGACCGAGAGGUGAAAGCGGGGGAUCGCAAGACCUCGCGCGACAAGAUGAGCCGAUGUCGGAUUAGCUAGUUGGCGGGGUAAGAGCCCACCAAGGCGACGAUCCGUAGCUGGUCUGAGAGGAUGAUCAGCCACACUGGAACUGAGACACGGUCCAGACUCCUACGGGAGGCAGCAGUGGGGAAUAUUGGACAAUGGGCGCAAGCCUGAUCCAGCCAUGCCGCGUGGGUGAAGAAGGCCUUCGAGUUGUAAAGCCCUUUUGUUGGGGACGAAAUCGUACGGGUGAAUAUCCCGUGCGGAUGACGGUACCCAAAGAAUAAGCACCGGCUAACUUCGUGCCAGCAGCCGCGGUAAUACGAAGGGUGCAAGCGUUACUCGGAAUUACUGGGCGUAAAGCGUGCGUAGGCGGUUUGUUAAGUCCGCUGUGAAAGCCCUGGGCUCAACCUGGGAAUUGCAGUGGAUACUGGCAAGCUAGAGUGCGGUAGAGGAUGGUGGAAUUCCCGGUGUAGC